rnacentral:rRNA from 1 species
AGGGUUUGAUCAUGGCUCAGAACGUACGCUGGCGGCACGCCUAACACAUGCAAGUCGAACGAAGUAGCAAUACUUAGUGGCAGACGGGUGAGUAACAUGUGGGUAUCUGCCCUUUGGCCUGGAAUAACACGAGGAAACUUGUGCUAAUACCGGAUAAGUCUUUACGGAGAAAGCUUUAUGCACCAUUGGAUGAGCCCGCACUUGAUUAGUUUGUUGGUGGGGUAAUGGCCUACCAAGACUGUGAUCAAUAGCUGAUUUGAGAGGAUGAUCAGCCACAUUGGGACUGAGACACGGCCCAAACUCCUACGGGAGGCAGCAGUGGGGAAUCUUGCACAAUGGAGGAAACUCUGAUGCAGCGAUGCCGCGUGAGUGAAGAAGGCCCUUGGGUUGUAAAGCUCUUUCGUCGGGGAAGAAAAUGACUGUACCCGAAUAAGAAGGUCCGGCUAACUUCGUGCCAGCAGCCGCGGUAAUACGAAGGGACCUAGCGUAGUUCGGAAUUACUGGGCUUAAAGAGUUCGUAGGUGGUUGAAAAAGUUAGUGGUGAAAUCCCAGAGCUUAACUCUGGAACUGCCAUUAAAACUUUUCAGCUAGAGUAUGAUAGAGGAAAGCAGAAUUUCUAGUGUAGAGGUGAAAUUCGUAGAUAUUAGAAAGAAUACCAAUUGCGAAGGCAGCUUUCUGGAUCAUUACUGACACUGAGGAACGAAAGCAUGGGUAGCGAAGAGGAUUAGAUACCCUCGUAGUCCAUGCCGUAAACGAUGUGUGUUAGACGUUGGAAAUUUAUUUUCAGUGUCGCAGCGAAAGCGAUAAACACACCGCCUGGGGAGUACGACCGCAAGGUUAAAACUCAAAUGAAUUGACGGGGACCCGCACAAGUAGUGGAGCAUGUGGUUUAAUUCGAAGAUACGCGCAGAACCUUACCAACACUUGACAUGUUCGUCGCGACUCUAAGAGAUUAGAGUUUUCGGUUCGGCCGGACGAAACACAGGUGCUGCAUGGCUGUCGUCAGCUCGUGUCGUGAGAUGUUGGGUUAAGUCCCGCAACGAGCGCAACCCUCACUUUUAGUUGCCAUCAUUUAGUUGGGCACUCUGAAAGAACUGCCAGUGAUAAGCUGGAGGAAGGUGGGGAUGACGUCAAGUCCUCAUGGCCCUUACGUGUUGGGCUACACACGUGCUACAAUGGUAUCUACAACAGGAAGCAAGACUGCGAGGUCAAGCAAAUCCUUAAAAGAUACCUCAGUUCGGAUUGCACUCUGCAACUCGAGUGCAUGAAGCUGGAAUUACUAGUAAUCGUGGAUCAGCGUGCCACGGUGAAUGCGUUCCCGGGUCUUGUACACACCGCCCGUCACACCAUGGGAGUUGGUUCUACCUUAAGGCAAGGUUUCAAACCCUUGACCACGGUAUAGUCAGCGACUGGGGUGAAGUCGUAACAAGGUAGCCGUA